UGUGUGACUAUAAUGCAUAUAAUUGAGUUAAAAUUGUAAAUUAAAUUGUAAUUCUUCAGUUUAAUUCAUUAUGCCUCCUAAAUUAUUUGAUUGUUUAUUGUAAAAUCAACAAAAAUGUUAGAAUAAAUAAAUAAAAUCUGUAGUGGAACGUCACCUGUUAUAUUACAUUCACAUGUCCAUGGCGCUCUCUGAUUGGAUUUUGUGAGAUUUGUCGUCAUGUAGCAGAAGAUAUCAACUAAGUUCGCUUUAGUAAUAUCAUUAAAGGUAGUGUGGUGUAUGAGAAUUAAGUAUUUUCAGUGAAAAUGCAGUAAUUUAAAUAUUCCAUUGAACAAAUACGUCAUUGUAUGCAUAUUUAUAGUAAUAUAAUUUUUAUUGGAGUUUUCCGGAGAUUUUCAGUUUAAAACUAAUUUAAUUUGUUUCUGCUAGGAUAGGAAGUCUUUUUUCCCAGGAUUUCUAAAGGCGAUUAAAGGAAGUUUUAUAAUCGUCAGUUGGAAAGUUUAUGCAGUAGCAUUAUUUUUUUAAUUUUCUUCAUUCAUUUCAGUGAACAAGAUAUGACAAAAGGUCCAGGUGAGAGUCCACCGCGCCGCAGCCGCAAGUCCCAGCAGCCUAUGAGACGUCUGACUCGCAAGUCAGGUAGUCGCCCCUGCGCCGCAUGUUGUGCUUGCUAAACUUGUGAAGAUGUUUAGUGUAAUGGCGGAACAAUCGCCUGACGCUACUCGAGAUAUUGCUCAGGACUUCUUGACUACAGGACGAGCUGGACGGCGAAAUGCUUUGCCAGAUAUCCUUGGGGAACAUGCACUUGUGUCCACC
rnacentral:misc_RNA from 1 species